UGACGAGUGGCGGACGGGUGAGUAAUGUCUGGGAAACUGCCUGAUGGAGGGGGAUAACCACUGGAAACGGUGGCUAAUACCGCAUAACGUCGCAAGACCAAAGAGGGGGACCUUCGGGCCUCUCACUAUCGGAUGAACCCAGAUGGGAUUAGCUAGUAGGCGGGGUAAUGGCCCACCUAGGCGACGAUCCCUAGCUGGUCUGAGAGGAUGACCAGCCACACUGGAACUGAGACACGGUCCAGACUCCUACGGGAGGCAGCAGUGGGGAAUAUUGCACAAUGGGCGCAAGCCUGAUGCAGCCAUGCCGCGUGUAUGAAGAAGGCCUUCGGGUUGUAAAGUACUUUCAGUCAGGAGGAAG
rnacentral:rRNA from 1 species